AUUGAACGCUGGCGGCAGGCUUAACACAUGCAAGUCGAGCGGAGAUGAGGUGCUUGCACCUUAUCUUAGCGGCGGACGGGUGAGUAAUGCUUAGGAAUCUGCCUAUUAGUGGGGGACAACAUUCCGAAAGGAAUGCUAACACCGCAUACGUCCUACGGGAGAAAGCAGGGGAUCUUCGGACCUUGCGCUAAUGGAUGAGCCUAAGUCGGAUUAGCUAGUUGGUGGGGUAAAGGCCUACCAAGGCGACGAUCUGUAGCGGGUCUGAGAGGAUGAUCCGCCACACUGGGACUGAGACACGGCCCAGACUCCUACGGGAGGCAGCAGUGGGGAAUAUUGGACAAUGGGGGGAACCCUGAUCCAGCCAUGCCGCGUGUGUGAAGAAGGCCUUAUGGUUGUAAAGCACUUUAAGCGAGGAGGAGGCUACUGAGACUAAUACUCUUGGAUAGUGGACGUUACUCGCAGAAUAAGCACCGGCUAACUCUGUGCCAGCCGCCGCCGUAAUAC
rnacentral:rRNA from 1 species